GUACGUAUAUAAACUGCUAAGCUCAGUUGUCUUUCAACUGGAACUUGUGUGUGUGUAGUCUAGUGGAGUAAUAUAUAGUCUAGUAGUACAGUAUGUGAUUAGUGAAUGAUACACUCUGAACACUUGUGUGGAGCCACCUCACGAUCGACCUGUCACCAGCAUCACCUUCCAACCACGUCACCAUACCAACAAGACGUCCAAUCAGAUCCCUCUAUUGGUCUCCACGAGUCUAGAUGGCCACUUCAAGACGUGGGUCCUCCUAGGAGAGGAAGUGGGUGUGUCAUGGUCGUGUCAGGCAGUGGGUUACUACCAUGGUCUGGAGAGUGUGGGGGCGUACUUCAGUGAGGAUGGGUCACUACUGGCUGUCAACUUCAAGACUUGCCUGACUCUGUGAGCUGAGGAAGACUCUCUGCAACCCUUUCAAUAGUGGAGACUAUCGGUG